rnacentral:misc_RNA from 1 species
UAAAUCAGAGGAGGGACCUAAUAGACAAGUACAGAAACUCUAUUGAGGAGCUUAUCAAGUCUGAGCCUUGAGCCCAUUACCGCUUGUCACCAUGCAUGGUAGAGAAAUUUUACAAUCUCAAUUCAAGUAUAGGCUUAGCGCCAGCGUGGGGGAUGCAAAUUACUUAACUGAAGGACAGAGUUGCCUGUUCCUUUUUCUGGAAGUGGAACUCAUAAUUGUGUCUUGUGAUUGAUUUUUGCAAGAUUGGAAAUUUACACAGAAUAUGGCUGUUAAAACCUUCUUAAUGAUAAGUUUUUUCAAUUCUUGUUAUGGUGUUACUGCAGGUAUGGCAUUCGUGUUAUUGGAGUUUUAUACGCAUGAUUUGCAACCUUGGACCCUGUUUUGUGUCAUUAAAGUCGAAUGGAGCCACAGAAAAAACAGUAACACCGGUUAGGGAACUGGCAACUAGUGUUGCCAUAGAUCGUCACCUGUAGGCCUUUAGUUUGCAUCAAGUUUUGUCAUGUUUGAAACGUUGUCUAUAAGCAACCAAACCUGAUGGGGUUAAUAUGAGGAUUUUUAACUCUUUAUUUUGUGGAAGAAAUCAAGUGCUUGUAUCUCUGGGAUAUCUUUCUUGAUCUAUCUGUAACUGAUCUUGAAACAGCCGACAUUUAUUUAGAAGGGAACUUUUCUUAAGAUGAUAAUUGUUAAGCUGCUUUGAUGAUCACUUUGGUUUUUGUUAAUUUCAGGUCUAAUUGCAGUUCAGCAUUCUAUGCAACAAUUCAAGCUGCACAGAAAAGCUGGAGGAUCUGUAGCUGCAGAAUCUGAUUCACAUUGUAUUUGGUGUGGAAGGAAAUUGUCAUCUUUCCUUAGCCCAAUGACCCUUAACAACAUUUCCAUGAACUUCAUUUCAUACUAUGCGGCACAUUUUUUAUUAUCAUGGGAGUUGGAGGCCAUGAAAUUGUAUAUCACAGUUCUUGAUUAUUUCAUUAGUGAUAUGCCAGUAUUUGCACUUCAAUCGAGUUUGUUUCCCCUCUAAAAGCCCACAGAAUUGUUGCACCAGCAUACAAGCACCAUUAUUAUUAAUAGUGAGAAACAUGUUUCUACUUCAGAAUUUAUGAAUUUUUGUAUAAGAUUUACAAUAAACUGUAGUUGUAAUUUCUUGUGUUGGUAUGAACUAUCUUUG